AGUGAACGCUGGCGGUAGGCCUAACACAUGCAAGUCGAACGGCAGCACAGGAGAGCUUGCUCUCUAGGUGGCGAGUGGCGGACGGGUGAGGAAUACAUCGGAAUCUGCCCAGUCGUGGGAGAUAACGUAGGGAAACUUACGCUAAUACCGCAUACGACCUUCGGGUGAAAGAGGGGGAUCGCAAGACCUCUCGCGAUUGGAUGAGCCGAUGUCGGAUUAGCUAGUUAGCGGGGUAAUGGCCCACCAAGGCGACGAUCCGUAGCUGGUCUGAGAGGAUGAUCAGCCACACUGGAACUGAGACACGGUCCAGACUCCUACGGGAGGCAGCAGUGGGGAAUAUUGGACAAUGGGCGCAAGCCUGAUCCAGCCAUACCGCGUGGGUGAAGAAGGCCUUCGGGUUGUAAAGCCCUUUUGUUGGGAAAGAAAUCUUUCAGGCUAAUACCCUGGGAGGAUGACGGUACCCAAAGAAUAAGCACCGGCUAACUUCGUG
rnacentral:rRNA from 1 species